rnacentral:rRNA from 1 species
UACGGGGGGAGCAAGCGUUGUUCGGAUUUACUGGGCGUAAAGGGCGCGUAGGCGGCACCGCAAGUCGACUGUGAAAUCUCCGGGCUUAACCCGGAAAGGUCAGCCGAUACUGCGGGGCUAGAGUGCAGAAGGGGCAACUGGAAUUCUCGGUGUAGCGGUGAAAUGCGUAGAUAUCGAGAGGAACACCUGCGGCGAAGGCGGGUUGCUGGGCUGACACUGACGCUGAGGCGCGAAAGCUAGGGGAGCGAACGGG